rnacentral:rRNA from 1 species
ACACCAGCGCCACAAGUGGCAACCAAUUUUAUUGGGCCUAAAGCGUUCGUAGCCGGUUCAGUAAAUUUUCUGUGAAAUCGUUGCACUCAAUGUAACGGCAUGCAGGAAAGACUACUGGACUAGGGACCGGGAGGCGUUAGAGGAAUUCUUGAGGGAGCGGUAAAAUGCUAUAAUCUCAGGAGGACCUCCAGUGGCGAAGGCGUCUAACGAGAACGGAUCCGACGGUGAGGAACGAAAGCCAGGGGAGCGAACCGGAUUAGAAACCCGGGUAGUCC